CCUACGGGACGCAGCAGUAGGGAAUCUUCCACAAUGGGCGCAAGCCUGAUGGAGCAACGCCGCGUGGGUGAAGAAGGUCUUCGGAUCGUAAAACCCUGUUGUUAGAGAAGAAAGUGCGUGAGAGUAACUGUUCACGUUUCGACGGUAUCUAACCAGAAAGCCACGGCUAACUACGUGCCAGCAGCCGCGGUAAUACGUAGGUGGCAAGCGUUAUCCGGAUUGAUUGGGCGUAAAGGGAACGCAGGCGGUCUUUUAAGUCUGAUGUGAAAGCCUUCGGCUUAACCGGAGUAGUGCAUUGGAAACUGGGAGACUUGAGUGCAGAAGAGGAGAGUAGAACUCCAUGUGUAGCGGUGAAAUGCGUAGAUAUAUGGAAGAACACCAGUGGCGAAAGCGGCUCUCUGGUCUGUAACUGACGCUGAGGUUCGAAAGCGUGGGUAGCAAACAGGAUUAGAUACCCUAGUAGUC
rnacentral:rRNA from 1 species